AGAAUCAACGCUGGCGGCGUGCCUAACACAUGCAAGUCGAACGAGAAAGGGGAGCAAUCCCUGAGUAAAGUGGCGACCGGGUGAGUAACACGUGACUAACCUACCUUCGAGUGGGGGAUAACCUCGGGAAACCGAGGCUAAUACCGCAUAACAUCGUGAGAUCAAAGCAGUAAUGCGCUGGAAGAGGGGGUCGCGGCUGAUUAGCUAGUUGGCGGGGUAAUGGCCCACCAAGGCGAAGAUCGGUA
rnacentral:rRNA from 1 species